rnacentral:rRNA from 1 species
CCAAUAGCGUAUAUUAAAGUUGUUGCAGUUAAAAAGCUCGUAGUUGAACUUCAGGCCUGUCCAGACGGUCCGCCUUAAUUGGUGUGUACUGUCCUUGGGUGGGUCCUACCUUCUGGCGAAGCGGCAUGGCCUUAAUUGGUUGUGUCGGGGAACCAGGACUUUUACUGUGAAAAAAUUAGAGUGUUCAAAGCAGGCAAAUAUGCUCGAAUACAUUAGCAUGGAAUAAUGGAAUAGGACGAUGGUUCUAUUUUGUUGGUUCUAGGACCGUUGUAAUGAUUAAUAGGGAUAGUUGGGGGCAUUAGUAUUCAAUUGUCAGAGGUGAAAUUCUUGGAUUUAUUGAAGACUAACUACUGCGAAAGCAUUUGCCAAGGAUGUUUUCAUUAAUCAAGAACGAAAGUUAGGGGAUCGAAGACGAUCAGAUACCGUCGUAGUCUUAACCAUAAACUAUGCUGACUAGGAAUCGGGCGAUGUUGACAAAAUGACUCGCUCGGCACCUCAUG